rnacentral:rRNA from 1 species
CCUACGGGUGGCAGCAGUGAGGAAUAUUGGUCAAUGGGCGGGAGCCUGAACCAGCCAAGUCGCGUGAGGGAAGACGGUCCUAUGGAUUGUAAACCUCUUUAGGCGGGGAGCAAUGCCGGGCACGCGUGCCCGGAGGGAGAGUACCCGCAGAAUAAGCAUCGGCUAACUCCGUGCCAGCAGCCGCGGUAAUACGGAGGAUCCGAGCGUUAUCCGGAUUUAUUGGGUUUAAAGGGAGCGUAGAUGGGUUGUUAAGUCAGUUGUGAAAGUUUGCGGCUCAACCGUAAAAUUGCAAUUGAUACUGGCAGUCUUGAGUACAGUUGAGGUAGGCGGAAUUCGUGGUGUAGCGGUGAAAUGCUUAGAUAUUAGGAGGAACACCAGUGGCGAAGGCAGUCUGCUGGACAGCAACUGACGGUGAGGCGCGAAAGCGUGGGGAGCAAACAGGAUUAGAUACCCUUGUAGUC